rnacentral:rRNA from 1 species
GACAGAGGGUGCAAACGUUUGUUCGGAAUUACUGGGCGUAAAGCGAGUGUAGGCGGUUCGAUAAGUCGGAUGUGAAAGCCCCGGGCUCAACCCGGGAAGUGCACUCGAUACUGUCGAGCUAGAGUAUCGGAGAGGUUGGUGGAAUUCUCGGUGUAGAGGUGAAAUUCGUAGAUAUCGAGAGGAACACCGGUGGCGAAGGCGGCCACCUGGACGGUCACUGACGCUGAGACGCGAAAGCGUGGGUAGCAAACAGG